rnacentral:lncRNA from 1 species
CUCCAGAGAACUCCUGAGAGGUCUGGAUAGGGUGGAAGUUAGAAACUAAUCUAAACUUUUAUCUGAUUCACAUAUUUGAUUUUUAGAUAGGGUGGCUCUUAAAAAAUGAUACCAUUAUUUUCACUACUUUGAAAACCUCGCAAUAUUUUUGUCUAAUAUUGCCACUGCCGUAUUUCAAAAAAAUAGAAGUAGAUAUGUGGAUAUAUAUGUCAGUGCAAUUGAAUUAUCUUCUUCCCCCGAUCAUAUAUGCUCCGCUUUAAAAAUAUAUGCAUAUUUUUAUGUAUACAUAAAUGGAGAGAGAGAGAAAGAGAAAGAUGCAUUCCAUGUUUUUCCCUACAACCUUAACCACCUGCUUUAAUUGCCCAGAAGGUAAUAUUUGUAAUACUUUGGUUUAGUAUGAAGGUGACAUUGUUAAAUCUGGUGGCAUUUUCUCUUCUUGUUAUCAUUUUAUUAACAAGCAAGCUUUGGCAUUGUAGCUUUCUUUCCCUUCAGAUCCACUUUAAUUCUAGCUAUGAACACAGAACAUGCAAAACUGUUUUGCCCUUAUAUCAUAUGAAAUUUGGAGGGGGGGUGUUAUGGUUUUGAAAAUACCUGGUGAUAAAACAGAAAUCCCAAGAUUCUUUGGGAACUGCAUGUUUGGUAAAGAGUCAAAGUCUAUCCUUAAUGACUACCAACAGUGUCAAUAAAAAGUGAUGGACUUUUUUGUUUUGCUUUAAAUAUGAGGAAAAAUUGGUUGGGAAGUAAAAGAUUUCAUGAAUAUCUACAGUAUUAAUUACUGUGUAGUAGAGCGUCCCAGAGCAGCUGAGGUAGUACUGCAUUUUGCCCCUAGGUGGCAGAAGAGUACUCCGGGAUUGGUGGAAGUCUGUGGUUUGCGACCAGGGAAUCACGGAUUUCAGUGAAAGGGUCUGAGACCACAGCCAUAAGCUGUGAAAGCCAAGAGGACAGCUAAGGACUAAGGAAUUGACACUAAGCCCGAAUCUGGCAGAAGAGUCAAGCCCCAAAUCGUGACAUGCACACAGAAAAAAUAUGUGGGCCACUGGCUUAGGAAGACUGCGUUUUCAGGGGAAAUGACCCAUGGGUGAGCGCUGUGGCACAGACUUAAAAGACUAUGACACUUUCUUUUGGCCUCCAUCAUUUCUGAUAAGAAAUUCACUGUCUUUCAAAUUAUUUGCUCUCACAGAACAAGAACUCGGACCUGGCUGAGCUAGAGACUAAGCAGACUGCAAUAUUUGGGACCUCAUCUGGGAUUGUCAGAAGGUCUCCAGCCGCCAUGAGAAGACAUGCCUUGCUUCCCCUUCACCUUCUGCCAUGAUUGUAAGUUUUCUGAAACGCUCAAACCAUGCUUCCUUUUAAGCCUGCAGAACUGUGAGUAAAUUAAACCUUUUUACUUAUAAAUUGCCCAGUAUUGGGUAUUUACUUAUAGCAGUGUGAAAAUGGACUAAUACAGUCAGUUUACUUCAUUAUUUCUUUUUCUUUCCCAGCUUGUGGAUAAAUCAUGAUAGCUCUGCCACUGAUUUGCCAUGUGACUUUGAAAGUGUUACGUUUCUUCCUUCAGGAGCUCUUGUAGGGCAGACCUGGUGGUGACAAAAUCUCUCAACAUUUGCUUGUC